rnacentral:RNase_MRP_RNA from 1 species
GGAUUAUGAGGCGAUGUGAUUGGGCCCAUGCUAAUUGCUGGGCUCAGGAAAGUCCCCGGGCCUUCUCUGCAGCAAUGCAGGCCCUGUAAUGGGUAUCUUAGAGUUGGGAUUUGGGGCUGAGACACGUGUGGAGCCUAUGCAAUUCCCACCUGAGAAUUUGGCCGAUUCACAGUCAUUCACAUGGUCAACUUGACUAACCGAACGGGGCUUACGCCCUCGUAAUC